AGUAUACAUAAGAUGGCCGCGUUCGUGUGGGCAUUCAUGAGUACGUCAGCGAAAUAUAGCCACUUUUGUUAAGAUGUGUUUAUGAGAAUGUCGGCCAAAUGUAAUAGUAUAAGCCGACAUUCGGCAGUAAAAAGUGGAAUGAAGGGAGUGAUUAAAAGUGGUUGGCCGCAUGUACAUAAAACCCUCGAUUAGCUUAGUGAAAGAAGACGGCUUUUUACUCUUGGAACCUGAACUGUUG